UUGACCUCGGAUCAGGUAGGGAUACCCGCUGAACUUAAGCAUAUCAAUAAGCGGAGGAAAAGAAACCAACCGGGAUUGCCCUAGUAACGGCGAGUGAAGCGGCAAGAGCUCAAAUUUGAAAGCUGGCCCCCUCGGGGUCCGCAUUGUAAUUUGCAGAGGAUGCUUCGGGAACGGCCCCCAUCUAAGUGCCCUGGAACGGGCCGUCAUAGAGGGUGAGAAUCCCGUCUGGGAUGGGGUGGCCGCGCCCGUGUGAAGCUCCUUCGACGAGUCGAGUUGUUUGGGAAUGCAGCUCUAAUUGGGUGGUAAAUUUCAUCUAAAGCUAAAUAUUGGCCGGAGACCGAUAGCGCACAAGUAGAGUGAUCGAAAGAUGAAAAGCACUUUGAAAAGAGAGUUAAACAGCACGUGAAAUUGUUGAAAGGGAAGCGCUUGCGACCAGACUCGCCCGCGGGGUUCAGCCGGCAUCUCGUGCCGGUGUACUUCCCCGCGGGCGGGCCAGCGUCGGUUUGGGCGGCCGGUCAAAGGCCUCUGGAAGGUAACGCCUCUCGGGGCGUCUUAUAGCCAGGGGUGCCAUGCGGCCUGCCCGGACCGAGGAACGCGCUUCGGCUCGGACGCUGGCAUAAUGGUCGUAAGCGACCCGUCUUGAAACACGGACCAAGGAGUNUAACAUCUACGCGAGUGUUCGGGUGUCAAACCCGUGCGCGCAGUGAAAGCGAACGGAGGUGGGAACCCCCCGGGGUGCACCAUCGACCGAUCCUGAUGUCUUCGGAUGGAUUUGAGUAAGAGCGUAGCUGUUGGGACCCGAAAGAUGGUGAACUAUGCCUGAAUAGGGCGAAGCCAGAGGAAACUCUGGUGGAGGCUC
rnacentral:rRNA from 1 species